rnacentral:rRNA from 1 species
GAUGAACGCUGGCGGCGUGCCUAAUACAUGCAAGUAGAACGCUGAAGCUUGGUGCUUGCACCGAGCGGAUGAGUUGCGAACGGGUGAGUAACGCGUAGGUAACCUACCUCUUAGCGGGGGAUAACUAUUGGAAACGAUAGCUAAUACCGCAUAAAAGUCGGCAUUGCAUGAUGUUGACUUGAAAGGUGCAAAUGCAUCACUAAGAGAUGGACCUGCGUUGUAUUAGCUAGUUGGUGAGGUAACGGCUCACCAAGGCGACGAUACAUAGCCGACCUGAGAGGGUGAUCGGCCACACUGGGACUGAGACACGGCCCAGACUCCUACGGGAGGCAGCAGUAGGGAAUCUUCGGCAAUGGACGGAAGUCUGACCGAGCAACGCCGCGUGAGUGAAGAAGGUUUUCGGAUCGUAAAGCUCUGUUGUAAGAGAAGAACGAGUGUGAGAGUGGAAAGUUCACACUGUGACGGUAACUUACCAGAAAGGGACGGCU